CACAGCUCCUGCCGGUCACCAAGGGCCCGUGCGGCUGGAAACAGCCUGGCUGGACGGGCUGGAACAGCGGGAUCGUCAGAGCUUUGAGUUUAUCCCUUAAGCUGGAUGAAAUGAACUCAUGAGAAACCUUCAGAAGGCUCUUUGGAAAAGAGAAAUAUUUUCAGUGAAGCUACAAACAAGAAACUACCACUGGCCAGAUAAGAUAUUAAAAAUUUUUAAAUAUCAGAGCGCCUCAUCCCCAGCCGGACAAGGGUCAUUUUCAGGUGCAGUUUUUGACUCCCAUGCUCGCUGUUUUCCUGUGAAUUGUCAGUCCUGUCCAAACACCAACAUUUCUUCUCAUUUUGGGUUGCGAAUUCCCACUGUCAGGCACAGAGGAGAGGCUGGGACUGAGCCUUAAGCUGCUGCUCCUGUUAAAGAUCCAAGGACUGGAGUCACAGAGGAGGUCUUGUGCUCUCAGUUGCAGAGACUGGAUCCUCCCCCUGCAUAACAAAUACAAUCCCAGCACUAAGGACAGCAGAAAUACUCCUAAAUCUAGGAUCCACCUGUUCUCUGGCCCACAAAACUUUGAAGAAUAAUGAUUUAAUGGCUUUCCUUCAGCAGAGCUCUGUGGUUAGCCGUGGGCACAUGAAAGCCCACGUGCCUCAAGACUGUUUGGUUGAUAAUUGAUCCAAUCAUUGUCUUGGUGACAGUGAGAUGUCAGCACUGAUGGCAAAGUGGCCACUUCCAUGCGGUACUUUGUGUAUGACAAAGUGACAGCUUUUAUUUCCAGGUUGUGAUUUCUUUAAACCAUGCCCAAAGAUAGCUGAUGGAGCACAAAAUUUCUGAAACAAAGAGUUUGAUAUAAAUUUUGGACACGGGAGCAAGGUCUGAAGACCAUGAGUUAUGUUUGUGGUUUAAUACAUAAAUCUGACCAUGACCUGUCGUCACUGGUUCUUCAGGCUUUGCACUGAAAGUUGCACCAACAUAUGUUUGAGAAUGUUUUUAUAAGAACUGUUGUCAUCUUUUGAAAUACACAAGGAUCACUGGGGAAGAAACAUGAUUAUCUCCAAACAACACAAAAUCAUCAGCAUUUUCAAAGUACUUUAAAAUUUGUGGUUUUGUCUUUAAUUGUGCUGUUACUGUGCUUGCUCAUGAGUUGUGGGUGAUAACAUGUGAUUAUCAUCUGCCUACUUGAUCACAUGCACAUUUGUGAUGCUUGCAAGAGCAAACAUUAUCUGGCUGGGAUCUGUCACAUUCUCAGAGAUUCAGAGACUGUUUCCCAGACAACAGCACAGUCCCCUUCAUCCACGAGCCGUGCACCACCGUGAACCUGCACUCAGUCUAACACCUGGUGGCAGCUGCUGCUCCCACUCCUGACACAGACAAGAUGUUUGUAGAGCCAUAAUCCAACUGCCUGAACUCUGCAAGUCAAGGAAACUGCACAACUGAAAUUAAAAAGUUAAAAUGAGUCAAACAGCACCUACCUUAUUACAAAUUCUGAGUCAGUUUUUAAAUUGAAACCAGACCACUCCUUGCCAAAAGCCAUUUAAGGGCUGUUACCUGUUUAAGACCUCUGCUGCCAAACAUCAAGCCAAGCACAGCUGUGUAAGGUGGUAAAUCAUUUCUCUGUGGUAAUUUGAGUGUGUUAAAACAAAGGAGCCCAGAGGGCAGGUGGAAGAGUGAGUGUCAGAAGUAGCUCAGGCCAGCUGGGUGGGAUCCUGUGCGCAGGGCGUUUACAUUUUGGAUGUUGUCAGGUGGGGGAGGAAGCUGAUAAGAAAAAAUAAUUAUUUGCAUUCAAAUUAUAUAAACAGUGCCAGAGCCUGGUUAGUGUAGGCAGUGUUAGACAGAGUGUUUCCCAACUGCAGGAGAUGUAUCACAUGCUGGGUAAGGAAGGUAUAUGAGGCAACAGCACUCUGAAGGUGUGCAGCUCUAAGCCUCUUGGCACAUUUUAUGGCAGAAGAAUAAAAUAAAAAGGAUCUGAAAAUCAAAUGUUUGUCCCAGAUAAUUCUAUUAAAGAUGCACAUUUUUAAUAUUCCCUAACUUAAACUUUGCAUUGUGAAGCAAAGAUAAUGUCUGGGUUUGAAUUUAUAGGGGGGAGGGGGCAGGAUAUUGGUGGGAUUUGGGCAGGGUUCUUCAAGGUGUGCAGGGGUAUUUGGGGAAGGGAGAGAUAUUAAAUAGCAGGUAACAAAAUCUCAGUCUCCCCUUGAUGCUCUUGGCCCCAGUCAGCUAAAACUGUGCAGCUGUAGCAGCAGUGUAGCAGUAUCACCAAUCAGCAGUUCAAAUCCCAAGCUGUCCUUCCACAUCAGGUGGCCACAGGUUUCUAAAGAUCUUAUCACUAAUUUGUUGUUUUUCAGUCAUUAAGAAUGACUUCAAAUGUGAGUGGAAUAUUAAAUGAUUUUGCUUAUUGAUCCUGUGACACUCCAUCCAAAUAUCCUUUAAGUUUGCAGAGGGGCUCUCUGGGGUGUGCCAUUCCCUCUCUGGGUACCAUGGGAGAUCCAAGGUAGGAUCUGAUGGGAGAUUUACCACCCUCUAUAUCACCUGUUCCACUUCUGACUGCAACUCUGCCUUUCAGGGCUUCUCCAAGAAAAAGCAAAUCCAUGGUCAAGAUGAAGUGGUGAUUCUUUUUCCAGCCAAAGACAGCUUUAAAUUUUUUUAAGAUAUCCCUCACCUCCUGGUGAGAGCUUCCUCUUCCUGUGAAUGAUGUCCUUGGCUUUCCUCACUGUUCACAUAAAGUACCAGUGAGUGCACAGGUGUACAGCAGGACAUUUGCACUCUGAAUUGUUCUCAGGUUUUUGGGUUUGGACAUCUCUGUUACCUGAGACACUGGACUGGCUUUAUUGAAAUCACAUCCCAGAGAGCUGUGCAGUGUAAUUGUAGCUGUGGUAACCAAUACCUGCAAAGGGAAGAAAAGCUACUUCAUCACAGAUGAGUACUUGUGCAAAUAGAAAUCUAAAAGACUGUUCUCACAGGGACACACAGGAAAUGGAAUACACAGACAACACAUGAGACCCAGCACCCCCCUCUCGUGGUUUUCCCACACAGAAGGCGGGAAUCGAUCCAAACUGAUUUCUUAGUAAUUAUAUAAACACCUGCAGCUCUUCUCUGAAAGCUGAUAUAGUUACUGGCAUUUAAUCUCUUCUUCACAGUGACAGGUAUUAGCCUGAGGAUAGAAAAUGAUAAUCUGUAAAAAUUUUUAUUAGUAUUUCCUAGGCAACUUGAUGGCUAUUUCUGGUGGAAUAUGGAAGACUAAGGGAAAGGAAUUUGUUGGCUAUUUCUAUAAGCUCUUUUUUCUGCAAACUGAGGGAGGAAGUAAAUACUACAGUACAGAAAACAAAACUUUCCUGGUCAUCUGAUAAAGUGCAGAAACAAAAACAGGCAUUUGGUUGUCUUACACUGCUCUGUGUUGUAACUGAGUUGAACUGAAUUGCAUUAUACAACCAGCAAGUCAGUGUUUGUCAGAGGGUGAAGAACAAAUGCACUGAACUGAGAGAACUGCUGCAGGUCUGGCUAAAGCCAAGCUGGUUCCAGUGGGUGUUUUGGGGCUGCACAACAUUGGUCAAAUCAGCCCUGAUCAGUUGUUCUUGCUCUGCAGCACUAGCAUGGCUUUCCUGACAUUUUUUCAUUUCAUUUAUGGCUCAGUGUGCAAACAGAAAUUUAGCUGCCUUGUUUCUCACAGUGCUCAUCCUGGCCACGUGAAGAGCUGUUCCAGAGCACCACGAGCAGCAGCCCCAGAACAGAAAUAACUGUCCUCAGGUGGCCCCAGGGCCAGCCCACACAGCUCACACAGCCUGGGCAGAGCUGCAGAGCUCAGGGGCAGUUUGGCAGUGCAGCUCCCCUGCUUGAGGCUGUGAGGUUUAUGGAGCUCAGGGCUCUCAAGUGCUGUUUGCUGCAUUCUGGUCCUUUCCCUCUGCCCUGGGUCAAAGGAAGGCUACAGGUCUCAGGG